UCAAAAACAUGUCUUAUUGAUUAUAAUUUUAAGUUUGACCUGCCCCCUGAUAAUUUUAAAUGGCCGCAGUAUUAUGACUGUGCUAAGGUAGCAUAAUCAUUAGUUUCUUAAUUAGAAGCUGGAAUGAAUGGUUGGAUGAAAUAAUGAUUGUCUCUAUUUAAUUUUUUUAAAAAUUUAUUAUUUAGUAAAAAAGCUAAAAUAAUUUUGAAAGACGAGAAGACCCUAUAGAGUUUUAUAUAUUAAUAUCUUAAUUUUAUUAGAAUAUAAAUUUUUAAUUUGAUUUGUAUAUUUGAUUGGGGUGAUUGAAAAAUUUAAUGAACUUUUUAUUUUUUUAAACCAUUGAUUUGUGAAUAAUUGAUCCAUUAAUUAUGAUUAAAAGAUUUAAUUACCUUAGGGAUAACAGCGUAAUAUUUUCAAAGAGUUCAAAUCGAAGAAAAAGAUUGCGACCUCGAUGUUGGAUUAAAAUUAAUUGUUGGUGUAGAAGUUGGCAAUAUUAGGUCUGUUCGACCUUUAAAAUUUUACAUGAUCUGA
rnacentral:rRNA from 1 species